rnacentral:rRNA from 1 species
UACGAAGGGGGCUAGCGUUGCUCGGAAUCACUGGGCGUAAAGCGCACGUAGGCGGCCAACUAAGUCAGACGUGAAAUCCCUCGGCUUAACCGGGGAACUGCGUCUGAUACUGGAUGGCUUGAGAUUGGGAGAGGGAUGCGGAAUUCCAGGUGUAGCGGUGAAAUGCGUAGAUAUCUGGAGGAACACCGGUGGCGAAGGCGGCAUCCUGGACCGGUAUUGACGCUGAGGAGCGAAAGCCAGGGGAGCAAACGGG